GAAGGGGGCUAGCGUUGCUCGGAAUCACUGGGGCGUAAAGGGGCGCGUAGGCGGCCAUUCAAGUCGGGGGUGAAAGCCUGUGGCUCAACCACAGAAUUGCCUUCGAUACUGUUUGGCUUGAGUAUGGUAGAGGUUGGUGGAACUGCGAGUGUAGAGGUGAAAUUCGUAGAUAUUCGCAAGAACACCGGUGGCGAAGGCGGCCAACUGGACCAUUACUGACGCUGAGGCGCGAAAGCGUGGGGAGCAAACAGGAUUAGAUACCCUGAUAGUCCACGCCGUAAACGAUGAAUGCCAGCUGUUGGGGUGCUUGCACCUCAGUAGCGCAGCUAACGCUUUAAGCAUUCCGCCUGGGGAGUACGGUCGCAAGAUUA
rnacentral:rRNA from 1 species